rnacentral:rRNA from 1 species
UGCGUAGGUGGUUAUGUAUGUCGGAUGUGAAAUCCCAAGGCUCAACUUUGGAAUGGCAUCCGAAACUGCAUAACUUGAGUGCAGGAUGGGAGAGCGGAAUUCUUGGUGUAGCGGUGAAAUGCGUUGAUAUCAAGAAGAACACCGGCGGCGAAGGCGGCUCUCUGGAAUGUUACUGACACUGAGGCACGAAAGCUGGGGGAGCGAACAGGAUUAGAUACCCUGGUAGUCC